GCGUAGAGAUCAUGUGUGUGGAUUUUAGGAAGAGAGAGAAGAAAGUAUUUUUCUCAUGAUCUCUAGCGUAGAGAUCAUCAUCCUCCUAUUCUCUUCUUCUUCUCUAAGAGAGUCUUGAGAGAAGUAAAGAGUUUUCAACCGUUAAGAUACGAUCUCUACAAGGGAGCUAGUAUCCUGAUGAAAUCAAGAAGCAUCUGAUCAGAUCAAAAUUUUGUGUGGAUACCCAUAGAGGUCGGAUACUUGUGUGGUUUCAAGGGACCUUCGGAAGACAUCCAUGAUCAUCAGAUCAUGGUGUAGAUCGACCCGCGUCAAGAUAUAGAGAUUAGAUCUUUUUUAUUAUUUUUUUUCUAUUUGAUUUCUAUAUCUAAAUUCUAUCUCACAUAUUUGAUUUCUCCUCUCUGCUUGCCUCUUUCUCUUGUUUUCUUUUAUCAUUCUCUCUCUUCCUUUUUACUCUCUCUCCUUCUCUCUCAUGGAUUUGAUGGACCUUAUAAUAGAGGGUUCGUUGCUUAUGUCCUUUGUCAACCUCAAUAAGGGGUUUGGAACCACCUGAUGGUCAAGCAGCAUAUCGAUCCCUACCUUGGCCUUCAUCAAGUCCUAUUGAACUCCACCUGUUAGAUGUAUGUCCCAGAAACC
rnacentral:lncRNA from 1 species